rnacentral:rRNA from 1 species
AACGAACGCUGGCGGCAGGCUUAACACAUGCAAGUCGAACGCCCCGCAAGGGGAGUGGCAGACGGGUGAGUAACGCGUGGGAACAUACCCUUUUCUACGGAAUAGCUCUGGGAAACUGGAAUUAAUACCGUAUACGCCCUACGGGGGAAAGAUUUAUCGGGGAAGGAUUGGCCCGCGUUGGAUUAGCUAGUUGGUGGGGUAAAGGCCUACCAGGGCGACGAUCCAUAGCUGGUCUGAGAGGAUGAUCAGCCACAUUGGGACUGAGACACGGCCCAAACUCCUACGGGAGGCAGCAGUGGGGAAUAUUGGACAAUGGGCGCAAGCCUGAUCCAGCCAUGCCGGGUGAGUGAUGAAGGCAUUAGGGUUGUAAAGCUCUUUCACCGAUGAAGAUAAUGACGGUAGUCGGAGAAGAAGCCCCGGCUAACUUCGUG